rnacentral:rRNA from 1 species
GACGAACGCUGGCGGCGUGCUUAACACAUGCAAGUCGAACGGAAAGGCCCUGCUUUUGUGGGGUGCUCGAGUGGCGAACGGGUGAGUAACACGUGAGUAACCUGCCCUUGACUUUGGGAUAACUUCAGGAAACUGGGGCUAAUACCGGAUAGGAGCUCCUGCUGCAUGGUGGGGGUUGGAAAGUUUCGGCGGUUGGGGAUGGACUCGCGGCUUAUCAGCUUGUUGGUGGGGUAGUGGCUUACCAAGGCUUUGACGGGUAGCCGGCCUGAGAGGGUGACCGGCCACAUUGGGACUGAGAUACGGCCCAGACUCGUACGGGAGGCAGCAGUGGGGAAUAGUGCACAAUGGGCGGAAGCCUGAUGCAGCAACGCCGCGUGCGGGAUGACGGCCUUCGGGUUGUAAACCGCUUUCGCCUGUGACGAAGCGUGAGUGACGGUAAUGGGUAAAGAAGCACCGGCUAACUACGUG